GAAGGACAUUUUCGUAUAAAUUAUAAGAAAUGGACGGAAUAGUGAUGGAACCCUAACGGAGGUGGGCUAAAUGCAAUAACUUGAAAUAUUGAGGGGUUAAAAUGUAGAUUUUUGAAAGUUAGGGAGGAAAAAUGAAAAAGCGGGUAUUUACAAGGGGGUUUUCUGUAAUUUAGCCUUUUUUAGAGUUGUCAAUUUUGAACCGCCUUGAUCACAUUUAUAUCUUCAGUGGAUUUUGCUUUGUUGCUACAUGGUAUAACUAAAUAGGAGGAAGGGUCAGUGAACUUGAUUGUAAAGAUGAAAAUCCAUAGCAAUACAUAAUUUAAGAGUUCUCACCAAUCCAUGCGGCGUUGUCUCUUUUGUCCUUUCCCCUCUCUCUAUCAUAUCUUCUAAGAUCUCUCUCUCCCCUUUUCUCUCUCUCUCCUAGGCAUACUCUAACUCUCUCUCACUCCUGCAACUCUUUUUCUUAGAUUUUUCUAUCAUAUCAUAUCUCUCUCUAUUCUCCCUCCUCUCUCUCCUCUCAUUCUCUCUCUCUCCCCUCCCCUCUCUCUUUAUCAUCUAUAUCUUCUAUAUAUAUAUAUAUAUAUAUAGCUAGGCUGGUAUACUAUCGGUAGCACGGAGGCCUCCGUGCUACCAAGUUGUUUUCAAUGAUGCGGCUUUCAAAUCGACGAUCGGCUCCGUUAGACUUGAUCUACACUAUUAAAAGUAUUUGGAAACUAAAUUUCAUAAUUUUUCGACAUCAUUUGGCUAGUGAUCAAAAGGUUCCAAAAUUAACAAUUUUAAUGGUAGAUAUGAUGCGUUUUUAAGUUCAACGGUGUAGAAGUAUCCAAAUUAGAUGAAAAUUUAAUAGAAAAUUCUAGUUAACAUCAAUAGUAAGACCAAUACUUCCGAUUUGAAUUUUGAAUUCUUUAUCACUGUUUUUUAUGAGAUUUUUAUUUUUAGCCGUUCAUUUUUAGACUACUCGUUUGAUAGGUAAAUGAUACCGAAAAAUUAUGAAAUUUAGUUUCCAAAUACUUUUAAUAGUGUAGAUCAAGUCUAACGGAGCCGAUCGUCGAUUUAGAAGCCGCAUCAUUGAAAACAACUUGGUAGUACGGAGGCCUCCGUGCUACCGAUAGUAUACCAGCCUAGCUCUAUAUAUAUAUAUAUAUAUACAUUAUUUGGACGCUUCCCAUUGCAUUGUAAACUGACU
rnacentral:lncRNA from 1 species